ACACUACCUGAGGACAAAGACAGAUCUAUUGUCUGGGAUCCAACUCUGCACAGAUGGGUUAACAAAACUGAGCCCAAGGCUGAGAACAAGUGUGUACCACCACCUCCACCGAUGGGGACAUGUGGAUAUCAGGGGAACACUAG